rnacentral:rRNA from 1 species
UACGUAGGGUGCAAGCGUUAAUCGGAAUUACUGGGCGUAAAGCGUGCGCAGACGGUUGCGUAAGUCAGAUGUGAAAGCCCCGGGCUCAACCUGGGAAUUGCAUUUGAGACUGCGUAGCUAGGGUGCGGAAGAGGGGCGUGGAAUUCCUGGUGUAGCGGUGAAAUGCGUAGAGAUCAGGAGGAACACCCGUGGCGAAGGCGGCGCCCUGGUCCGUUUCUGACGCUGAGACGCGAAAGCGCGGGGAGCGAACGGG